UGGCUUUUGAGUAGAAGUUUUGCAGUGUUUGGCUCUGCAGCUCAUCCUCCUGUUCCCUGAAUUUUUAUAAUUUUAAUUUAAAAGAAAAAAAUCAAUAACAACAACAAAAAGAAGUCUACUUUCAGAUUUCUCACAUUUCUGUGGCUGGAAUUCCUAUGGAUAAGACGCCUCCUUACAGGAUCAGAUGUUGCUGGAUGCUGCUCAGUUACCGUGAUUUACUUCCUCUCACUUUGGUACAACCAGGAGCAGCCUCACCGUGGUGCAGCGAGCUGCUCGAAGCCCCUGAGAUCACACAAUCCCGUUGCAUCAUCUGCUCUGCACUCAGAAAACUGGUUUUCUUAUCCCACCACCCAAAGGUUUCAGUUCAGUUGUCUAUGAAUGAUAUUUUACCAGUUCUCCCAAAAAUUCUGUAAGUGCAUGGAUUGACACUUGAAGCGUUUAAUGAAUAACUGUGCUGUGGAUAGGAGACAUUUGCUUAUAUCAUCUAUAGGAAAGAUUUAGCAUGUAAUAGCAUCUAAUUAAUUCAAGUUCUAGUACAACAUUUUUGGAAGAAUUAUAGGUAUUAAGAUUAUUUUCUUCUAAAAUGAUUUGUAUUUAUUUUGCUUUCAGCUAACAUUUCCAUAAGAAAUAUAUUUCCACAAGAAAAUAUAAUUGUAACAAAUACUUAGUUCAUGAAAGUUUCAAUGUGGGUGUCUGAACAGGAUGAAUUCUCUCUGGCUACCUCCGUUCUUGAUGAUUCAUUUCAGACCGUGAUCAGAACGUGCCCAUCGUCAAGCCAGAAUUUGCCAAAAGAGUGUUUUGAGUUGCACGUUUAAUCUUCUUAACCAAAUAAGUUUUUUGUAGUGAACAUCAACCAGAGUGUUUCUAAAAAUUGUUUAAUAUACUCAGAUUGAAAUGCCCACCCUUAAAAAUGAUGGUUUUUAAAUUUCCAUUAAAACCUGGAAUGCACUCAGCUCUAUUUCAUUUCAUAAAAGCCACCCUAAUGGACAUUUCUUCAGAGCUCUGUCUUUUGCCCUGUACAAUGAGUUUCAAUUAAGCAUCAUCUUUGGGGUUUUGCAUGUCUGGCUCAUGAUUUAAAAAAAAAAAAAAAGGAAAGAAAUCCUACCGUAAUUCAUUGCGUUUUCCAAAAACUUAUUUUACAGUUCAUUUUUACCAAAUUAUAACAAAUCUUUGAACUGUCAGGAGUUUGAAGCCAGUUUUUCAGGGCAGCCUUUCCUCUAGUUUUUAAUAUAACGUUUUCCAUUCACCUUUAACUAAUCUCAAGCCAGGAUUAUAAAACAGAAGUACAUGGAAAAAGUAUCUGGUGAAAAAAGUAAGGAGGUCGUGCUUGAGCACCAAGCAGGUUUGUUUCAUGCUUGACCAGCUCUCAUUUUCAUCUAUAAAAUGUAAUACAAACUACUUGUAUCUCCUUUCUUUCGAGCUGUAACUGACCUGCAUUAACCUGGCUACUCAAUACCAUUGGUUUUAUCUUUCCAACACAAUAGACACAGAAAUCCUUUUUUCCCCCCUUUUCUCUUUCUUCUCCUCCUAUUCAGCUGCAGCACCGUUUGGGAGAAUGGAAAAAUUAAUUGAUUUUCCCUAAUGAUGUCUGAGUGAGCAGAUCAGGUUCACUGUGGACAGCAGCUGCGGUUUAAUUUGUGAGUGUGCAAUUGAAAAUUAGACACUCAUUGGGUUACUGCACCUGACCGUGGGGCUGGCACACUGCCUGCUGGGUCUUAACAAAGUAAAAACCACCAAAAAGUCCGGAGAAAUUCAAGUGUCUGUGCAGAUAUAUAAAAGGAAGAUGAAACAGCAAACGGGAGGAUGACAAUCCAUCCUUGUUUGUUCAGAAAUCGAUAUAGAAGUUAAGCAUUUUCUCAAGGAAGUCCAGAAAUGCUGCGGUCAAGAGCCACUUUAAGUGUUACUAUUGCAUUUGGUGGCGUUAAACCCAACUCUACUGUUCUGGAAUUGGCUCAAGAACCAGAAAGUGAAAGAGAAAUACCAAGCAAAAAGCAUAAAGUGCAAGGUACUGCAUACUAGUCAAUAGUUUGAAGUGCAAGCAAGUUAUCAAAGUAUUAUGUUUUUAAGCGUUUAGAAACACAUUCUUAAUUAAAAUAAGACAAUUUCGAUCUUGAUCUAUAUUUUUAUCCUGAAAUGGACAGUGUGUGUGAAUAUUGUUGAGGUUUGGUUUUGUUGUUGUUGUUGGGUUUGUGUGUGUGUGUGUUUGUUUGUUUUUUCUAGUUCUUCCCAUGUUUAAACUUGAGUUGUUUCACUUCCAGAAGUGGUGUUUUCUAAGAGAAAACAACAAAAAGCAUAUUUUAGGUGUCCCUAAAAUAGAAAAGAAAUGCCAGUGUUUGGCUCAUUAGAUUUUUCCAUUUGAAAUCAUUAAUAUUUUGCAAUCUGGAUGAAGCUGUGGCUGUUUGUACUCUGAAAUGUCAGCCAGCACCUUCCAGUUUCAUGUACUUGUCAUCGUUUUACAGGCUUCAGGUUCGUAUUACGAAUUGGCAAGGAGACUUUUCAGGUCAUCUAAGUAUUUUCUUAUUCUCUUUCCUUUAAUUGCACUCUUACAGUUGGAAGAAAAUCAAGAGCCAAAUUGUAAUUCUGGGCAAAUCUGUUCACCUUGAUAUCGCGAGGGCAGCUGUUCUGCAAACCCCAGGGCACGGUGGGCUACGACACAUCGCAUAGAGCGAUAGAACACCAAGGGCAGUGGAAAUAAUGUUAUCAAAAAAGGCACUUACAAACCCCAAAGAUGAUGCCUCGAUGAAAGGAUGUAAAGGGUGAGUCGUAGUCUAAAUUCUGGAGUAAAGAGUAGCCAAUAAGUUAGUUCAGAAAAGGUGGGAGAAAAGCUUGUGCAGUUAUUACAAGAUAAUCCAUCCAAAGAAAAAAUUCCAUCUUGUCUCCGAGAACUGGAAGUUGCCCCAAACCCUGUGUUUUCUCUGCCUUUUGCAAAUCCUUUGCUUUCAGUGCGUUUCCCUGUGUGUCGGAGGGAAUUCCCGCGCUACGCUGCAGCAGCUCCAGCAGCACCAGCAACUCGCAGAGCAAGACGAGUUUGUGCUUGAGCUCCCUGGGAAUCUUCUGACUCGACUGUCAUAUGGCAUUUAUGUAAUGCUGACCCUCUUCAAAGCACUUCACCAAGCGCAUCUAUCUUGGAAAACUGCCUUGCAAACUCUGCUUUAUGGUUCUUCCCUUUGUAGUGUACAAAGAGGCUGCAGAUCUUCCUUGUAACAAGUAAAAGACAAAUAUUCCCAGAGCGGCAGAGGCGUGUGGUUUGGUGUGGCUGAACAAACACUUUGUGGAGGGACAGAAGGCACCAAGGAAAGGAGCGUAUGAAGGAAGGGAGCUUAGAGAAGAUGCUGGAGGAAAACCAUUCAUCAAACUUCGGGAAAACACACUGCAAAUAUUCCUGUCUUUAGAAAAAUUAAUGACUGAAGGGAAAAACUGUUCCAAGAUCUUCAAGUGCAGCUCUAGUCGUUUUUCCAAUUGAUAAACACGCCACGGUGAGUCCCGUCCCUUCCAUUUCCAAAGGCAUAAACAAGGAACAGACCAUUCUGGGUUUGAAUCACAACCAGAGUAGUGAAGUCCUGAAAUCCAACACAUUAUCUCAUGGUAAGUACACUCCUGUUCUAUAUGAUUAAUAUGCUUUCUACUUAAUUGAAGUGUGACACACAAAGCAAAAAAUGUUAAUUGAAUUUUAUAGCUCGUGGAAGUUGCCAGGUUCUUGGGAGAUAAUUUUGCUGAGGGGGUAACUUAUCGUUUCAAGCUUUAUUUCUUUUUGGUUUUGGAAGCAUUGAAGGAGCAUUAGCUUGGAGAGACAGUUAUUUAUUGGCCUUGGUUUCUUGCAGCUAAUGGCUAUUUUAUUUUUCAGAAAACAUGCCUCCCUUGGCUCUUAACUACAGUUUGUGUAAAAACCUCAUUAAAGGAAUAAAACCAACCGUGUUCACCAAAGCUCUGAUCUCGAGCCUUAUCUCAGAUUUAAUCUCCGUUUGAAAUGAGGUCUGACUCCUGACCCGCUUCAGUUGAACAUCCCAUCACCUGCCAGAUUCUCUGCUGAAAUACAACUUGUCUGUUUCCUUGUGACUCAGGCUGCAUCUAAUGCUACAGCAGCUGCUUCUGGGAAAGCCGGCUCUGAACUUGUGCUGGCCUAUAUAUGGCCCAUUAAGACAGGAAAAGAGAUAAUUAGUGCGAUUGUGAGACUAUCAUGCAUCGAUUUUGGUUGUUUAGAAGAGGCUUUUGUUAUACACUGAGUAUUGAUCAUUGUAUAGAAAUGAAGACAUUUGUAAGGUAAUUGCUGCUUCUGCAAGUCCAUGCAAUAUAUUUAAAACGUAGUAGCGCUAGAUCUGUGAUCCUCUGUAAACACAUUAUGCUGAUGCAGAAACAGAAAUUCCGCACCAGAAGUACGUGCGCUCUCCAGAGUAUUAAAGACAUUUAUCUGGCAAAAGCUUUGCCAAUGAUGCCUGGAAGACCACAUGCUCCAGUCUGUUCUGUUCAUGGGGGAGAUAAGUUUGACAUAUAUGUAUAUUUAUAUAUCCUCUGUAACAAUAUCAGUAAUUGCUCAUUAGCUCUUGAGAAGCAGCCCUUCUUGAUUUCUAGCAGAUUGGUUAAGUUUGGGUCCGCUCCCAAGGAAAACUGAAAAUAAAUAAAGUUCGUCACUUCUCAUCUAGCAAAUACCUGUUUGCAUGUGCAGGAAAAGACAAGAAACCCACAUGCUGUCUCAUUGGCAGGUUUAUUAGAGGAGCCAUUAGCAUUCUUAUUAAUGGACCUGCUAGAUUUUCUUAUUAGUGGAGUUGCCAGACCUGCAGCAAGCCAAGGUCUCUUUUGCUUCUUGUUACGCUUUUAGCCUCAGUAUUCAUCAGACGCACAAGCCAAGGUCAGCUUAAUUAAAUAAAGCUAGUAGUCAAUUUGGAACAGAUAUUCUGAUACAGAAUAUGGGAAGAGAAAAAGAGAAAAUUAAAAAGCAAAUGAGAUAAAAGAAUAAUAGACUAUUUCCAGCUGCUCUGUGAAAUCUCCCCAGUUUCUCCACACUCGGCUGCACUCACCAGGCUGGUGUGGGGGUCAGUCCUGGACCAUUUUGCGUAAUGGACAAAGCAGCACCCAAAAUUAUGGGUUUUGGCUCAAUAGAAAAAGAGUGGUAAUCACAUAUCCCAGCACCACCGCCACCAAGAAAAGUGCAUUACUGACCUGUGAGAUCUCUGAUACAGAACCAGCCCCUCCUCAGGUUUGCUUUCUGAAGCUUCCUUCAUGCUAAAGCAGCACCUGGCAGAUGAGUGGGUAUCAAGGCAUGCCAGUCCGGUCUGUGGCUUUAAACUACAUCAUCUUCAUCCCCAUUACAAAGAAAAACGGCUCCUUUAAAUACCCGUUAUACUCCUGGAUAAUUGCGAACAAUCUGCUGUGGUCUCUAGGGAGAAACCCUCAAAUCUUAGACUGCUUGUACCUUGUAUUUUAAAAGUAUUGCAUUAAAGCCCACAUAUGUUCCUCGAUUUUUAUGCAGAAAUCACACUAAUACGCUUAAACAAGAAAUCCACUCAUUUUCAACAUGGAACACUUGUUUACAGAUUUAUUUUUGCUACACUUGGAUACAAGUUUCAGAUCACUAAUGCGGGGUCCUCCUAUAUGGCUCCUAUUUUUUAAUUAAUGAAUAAUGUUGACCAUGUGCUUGAUAACUUGUCUUCACUGAACGAUUUUCUGCUGUGCCAUGCAAGUACAGAAUGUACAAUACUAAUUAGCUGUUUUGCCCAUCUAAUUAAAAUGUUUUGCGUAUGCCAGUAAACGUAAAUGCACAAUUAGCGCAUAUUUAGUUAAAAGGCCAAGCAAGAUAAAGUACAACUAUUAUUAGCCAGAACAAAAAUCUUCAUGAUCUUCAUCCAUAUUGAGGUGUAAUUAAGUUUGUAAAAUGUGCAAAUCAGCUCAGCUGAUUAUUUAAGGUUUGGAAAACAGGCCUAAGUUAGAAAGUACAAUGCUAAGGAUUUGGGUGGCGUGGGUGACUGUGGUUUCAUGACUAUGGUUACUAUCAGCUGUUUGUUGUCUACAGACUAACUAUAAAAAGCUCCUAAGCCAAGUGUGAAAGUAAUUAGCGUUAGGAAGUUGUGUUAACAGGAAUGAGAAAAGUAGUCACAGGAGAUCUUCAUUACAGAUGAAGAGUAUUAAAUGUCAGUUGUAUCAGAUGGUUUGUGUUGUUGUGUGUCUUUCUACUUAAACGUAGGAAGUAAGUAAAAGUCAGCUCAUUGUCAGCUCAGUUUAAUAGCAAAAACGAGUUUGAGGGGAAAAAUGCUGGAAAAGCAUGUUCUCUCUCUGUUGUUGAGUUUUUGCUGACUCGAUAUCUAGAAAUAUUGCACUUUUCAGUGCUUGAGAUUAUCUGGGAUUAUAAAAUGCUUGAAGAGUGAGCAUCAGAGCAGAUAAAAAGAAACUUUCAUCCAGGGAAUCUGCAGCGUUCUUCACCGUGGUGUUUUAUUUUCAGGUCAGAGGUAAUUCCCCUCAAUCUGAAACACAAGGUCUUUUAGAAGAGCGCUGCCCCCGACACAAAUUAGCGCUUUGCAGCAGCCUGACAACUCAUUUUCUUUCAAACUUACAUAGGGAACUAAUUAGAGGGUUUCAGCUUAUGUACCUGAAAACUGACCACGACAUCACAUUGCAAUAAUCAUCGCUGCAGCUCCCACUUAGUCCAGUUGCUUCCAGGACUGGAAUGAACAUCUCAAAGUCUGUCCUACUGAAUUCCUGGACUAAGGAUGUUCUGUGUCCAUCUGGGAGGGUUUCUCAGGGUGAUGCCCAAGCCAUGGCACCCCCAGGAUUUCAGUGCAAGACUUCGCUGGGCUCCAUCCGACGCUCCACGUGGCCCGUUCGGGAUCUGCUAUCCCUUCAAGUGGCACCAACAACCAGGCUCCCGCGAGGAACAACCAGUGACCGUCAAGAUCUCUUGAAGAAACCUCAGGCAGAUGGAGUCUGGAUUCAUCUGGACAUUUCCACAAGGCAAUUGACCUUCACAUCCAUUUACAAUCGGCAGCUUCAUAGGGUGCAUCAUCAAGACAAGCAACCUACUGCUUGAGAUGGAGAAACCCCAGAAUUCCUGUGCACAGAUGCGCAUCCUUUUAAACCCGUGGGUAUGAAUGGAUUUGUGCUCCGCAAGAACGAACAUCUUUAUUAAGAUGCAAGUUGUCCCCACAAUGUGGUGCAGGGAGAGGAGAAAGCCAGACAGUGGAAACUCCUUUAACCGAACCACAUGGAAAAACCCCUCUGGCUCCAUCAGCCAAAGAAGGUCGAAUGCAGCCAGAGCUACAGCUCCGCCAGUGGAUCCUAAAUCCAGUAUUUCACAUUGAUCCCCAGCUUCACAAAUGCCAUAUUGACACUGGUGACAUCAGCACGACGAAAUACAACCAGGACAUAUAAAAAUGACUUCAUGCUGCCAGAUUUGCUCACAGCAACCGCUGGGACGAAAACAGAAAGGAUCUUUUAUGACUAUUCCCUUCUGUCUCAGGAUGUCUCACAGCCUCUAAUUAGAUCAGGCUUAAAACAGCCCCCCCCCAAAUUACUGGACUAUUACAUCUUCACUUCUGGAGCAAUAAAACAUGCAGCGAACAGGCUUGGCUCACACAACCCCCCCCAUCAAAAAUCUUGAUGAAGAUUCAGUCAAUACCA